rnacentral:rRNA from 1 species
UGGGGAAUAUUGGACAAUGGGCGCAAGCCUGAUCCAGCAAUGCCGCGUGUGUGAAGAAGGCCUUCGGGUUGUAAAGCACUUUUAUCAGGAGCGAAACGCUGUCGGCUAAUACCCGGCGGAACUGACGGUACCUGAGGAAUAAGCACCGGCUAACUUCGUGCCAGCAGCCGCGGUAAUACGAAGGGUGCAAGCGUUAAUCGGAAUUACUGGGCGUAAAGCGUGCGUAGGCGGUUUCUUAAGUCUGCUGUGAAAUCCCCGGGCUCAACCUGGGAAUGGCAGUGGAUACUGGGAGGCUAGAGUGUGUCAGAGGGUGGUGGAAUUCCCGGUGUAGCGGUGAAAUGCGUAGAGAUCGGGAGGAACAUCAGUGGCGAAGGCGGCCACCUGGACAACACUGACGCUGAGGCACGAAAGCGUGGGGAGCAAACAGGAUUAGAUACCCUGGUAGUCCACGCCCUAAAGCGAUGCGAACUGGAUGUUGGUCUCAACUCGGAGAUCAGUGUCGAAGCUAACGCGUUAAGUUCGCCGCCUGGGGAGUACGGUCGCAAGACUGAAACUCAAAUGAAUUGACGGGGUCAUAGCUGUUUCCUG